AAACUGAAAAAACGAAUUAAAAAAAAAAAAAAAGAAAAAAUAAAAAAAAUGUCGGCCGACGAAAUCCAAAUCUCAGAUUUGGAGAAUUCUUCGAGAAUUCUUUCCUACCCAGAACGCCCUCUAGAAGUCCACUGGACUUCGUUUUUCUACUGCCCUUUGGCUCAUCCUAGUGUAAUGUUCAAUAGGAACAACCUUCCUAAAGGCCCACUGUACUCAGAGAA
rnacentral:ribozyme from 1 species